rnacentral:tRNA from 1 species
UGGGAUGUGGCUCAAGCGGUAACGCGCUCACCUGGCAUGUGUGGGGCGCUGGGUUCAAUCCUCAGCACCACAU